rnacentral:rRNA from 1 species
UACGGAGGGGGCUAGCGUUGUUCGGAAUUACUGGGCGUAAAGCGCACGUAGGCAGCUUUGUAAGUUAGAGGUGAAAGCCCGGGGCUCAACUCCGGAAUUGCCUUUAAGACUGCAUCGCUCGAAUUGUGGAGAGGUAAGUGGAAUUCCGAGUGUAGAGGUGAAAUUCGUAGAGAUGUGGAGGAACACCAGUGGCGAAGGCGGCUUUCUGGUCUGUAACUGACGCUGAGGCGCGGAAGCGUGGGGAGCAAACAGG